CUGUGUAGAAAGGCGUUUCUGGAAGAGGCCAUACGGCCUUAACUCCCCUGCAGUGUCCUGCUAGACUCUGUGCUGCAAGGUUUGAAGACAAAGCUCUUCAGUUUCUCAAGACACAGGCCUACAGCCAGGCUUCACCUGCCUUUCUGCCUGGGAGGUGAAAGAUUUACAGAUACCCUAGAUGUGAGGCAGCGUAUUGGAUGUGCUCAUCCGUUCCAGGAAAGAGAAGAAAGUCAAAGCAAAUAAAAAUCCUCAAGCUGAAGAUCCCACAGAACAGAAAAAGGCAAGUCUAACAUCAGUCUAACACUGACGCAUCCAGCUCAAUGUUUCAGCAGGUGGGAAGGUGCUCCCCACACUUCCAGUGCCCACCCAAGAGAAGAGGGCAGCGCAGGGGCUGUGUCUCUCACACAGACGAGCCUUGCAGGGUGUGAAUAUGGAUGCGGAAAACAACUAAGAUCAACUGUGCCUCAUCACCUGUGUUGCAUGUGCACUGCCAGCACUCCCCAGAACACCUGGAGGUAUUUCUGAUUACACCAGUUUGAGCAAAGGAAACCCUGAACCUUGACCUAAGUCUUGGCAAAUAUGUAAAGGAAUUACUGACUUUCCAACCAUUUGUCUAUUAUCUGUAAUUUUAAGCCUACACACAUGCUCUGGUAAUGAGCUUACACAGCUUUCAUUGUUCUUUUAAAGAAGUAGUAAAAAAAUCAGCUCUCUGGAAGUAAUGGUGAUACAUUGCUAAACAAGUUUGGAGAAGGCCAAAAAACCACCCUCAUCAUGCUGGUAGCAGAGGUAUUUUCCAGAAUCUCAUGUUACAGUCUGUAUUAUAGAGCACAGUCUGUACAAUAAAUGAUGCCUUAGAUGCUUGAUUAAAAGGUGCCUAAGAGAACGAGGCAAUGAUAAAGGAAAUAGUCUGCAAGGGAAGGCUGAAUGUGUGAUGGGCAGACUGUCAUUACAGGUUUUUUUCUGGAUAGACCAUCUGUGCUAUAUGAAGGUUUGUAUCCUCAAGACAGCCAUAAUUCAUAUCAAUGUCAUGACACAAGCUACAACUAACCAUACCAAAAAGGUUAUGUCAGUGUUGAGGUCACCUGAUAAGUACUUAAAUAGCUAUCCUAUGCAGUUAAACGAAUUAACAAAUCUUUCAGACAAAAAGAUAAUCAUUAAGCCAACAGGACAACAUCCACUAAACGGAUGAGUCAGAAUGAUCUGCCCAAUGCACCUAAGGGUAAGUAUCUAGUCAUAAUAAUAAUGAUGAUUAGUUGGAAAAAAAUAACUACUGAAGUAUAGCGGCCUUGGCAUGUCCUUCUCUGGUUUGUCUCUAUUUCCAAGUUAGUUUGCAUGAUAAGCCAACUUUGUAAGACACAAAAAUGUUGCAUGUGUAAAGUGUGAAUGUGGAUCUCAUUCAAGCUCUUUAUGAAGUUCUCCUUUGUGAGGAAGAAUAAAUCAACAUGAAAACGCCAGGAAGCACAUUUGUCAUGUUUUUGUCUCAAAGUGAAAAGUUUGGCAAAUUCAGCGUGCCUCAAGAACCCUUUUCAGAGUAAAUGUUAUUUCUGUGUUUAGAAGAAAUGCAUCAAAGCAAUCCUAGCAGAUCUACAGGAUUAGAGUCAGGAAAAUAUCUUAUUUUCCCUUGCUGAAUCAAAAAGUUAGUUCCCAGUCUCCUAAAUCUUACACCAAGUGUUUUAUGGCCCUUAAAAGUGAAGUGAAAGGCUUUGCACCUGUCAAGACCUGCGUUAGCUGAUGAAAUCCCCUGGCACAGCAAGCCCAGGAGAGGCACUCCCUGUCCUGCCGCCAGCGCUGCCGAUGCCAGAUGCCGUAGCCGAGGAAACCCCGCUCAAGCCCUCAGGAACCAAACUCAGUGUUUGGCAGCAAACAUCGGAGGAUUUGAAUUCUGCUUUAAAACACAGCUUGGAUUUGAGUCCAGGCAUGCUUCUAUUCAUGACUCAGGAUAGUAAAGAAAUUCUAGUAUUAUUUGUAUUCCAUCUCAUUUCACUUUACAAUUUCACUAGGGUAAAGCUGCAAAUAUAAAAUUGUUUUGCAUUAAAGAACGACAAGCAAGUUUCUCCCAAUGCAUCAAGAGCUUUGAGAGGACAGUUUUGAAGUCCUAGAGUGGACGAGAAAGGUAAACCAACCUUUAAAGCUCAGUCAGAUCUAUUCUCAU